rnacentral:rRNA from 1 species
GACGAACGCUGGCGGCGUGCUUAACACAUGCAAGUCGAACGGAAAGGCCCUGCUUGCCGGGUACUCGAGUGGCGAACGGGUGAGUAACACGUGGGUGAUCUGCCCUUCACUUCGGGAUAAGCCUGGGAAACUGGGUCUAAUACCGGAUAGGAGCCAUUUUUAGUGUGAUGGUUGGAAAGUUUUUUCGGUGUAGGAUGAGCUCGCGGCCUAUCAGCUUGUUGGUGGGGUAAUGGCCUACCAAGGCGGCGACGGGUAGCCGGCCUGAGAGGGUGGACGGCCACAGUGGGACUGAGAUACGGCCCAGACUCCUACGGGAGGCAGCAGUGGGGAAUAUUGCACAAUGGGCGCAAGCCUGAUGCAGCGACGCCGCGUGGGGGAGGACGGCCUUCGGGUUGUAAACUCCUUUCGCUAGGGACGAAGCUUUUUGUGACGGUACCUAGAGAAGAAGCACCGGCUAACUACGUG